GGAAAGGUGGCCGAGUGGCCGAUGGCAGCUGACUGCUAAUCAGUUGGUCCGGGUGACUGGGCCCGGGGGUUCGAAUCCCCCCCUUUCCGCCA
rnacentral:tRNA from 1 species